UCAGGAUGAACGCUGGCGGCGUGCCUAACACAUGCAAGUCGAACGAAGCACUUAGACAGAACCUUCGGGUGACGUAUUGGUGACUGAGGUGGCGGACGGGUGAGUAACACGUGGGUAACCUGCCCUGUACAGGGGGAUAACAGUUAGAAAUGACUGCUAAUACCGCAUAAGCGCACGAUGGUAGCAUUACCAGGUGUGAAAAAACUCCGGUGGUACAGGAUGGGCCCGCGUCUGAUUAGCUAGUUGGCGGGGUAAGAGCCCACCAAGGCGACGAUCAGUAGCCGGUCUGAGAGGAUGAACGGCCACAUUGGAACUGAGACACGGUCCAAACUCCUACGGGAGGCAGCAGUGGGGAAUAUUGCACAAUGGGGGGAACCCUGAUGCAGCCAACGCCGCGUGAGUGAAGAAGUAUUUCGGUAUGUAAAGCUCUAUCAGCAGGGAAGAUAAUGACGGUACCUGACUAAGAAGCUCCGGCUAAAUACGUGCCAGCAGCCGC
rnacentral:rRNA from 1 species